rnacentral:other from 1 species
CAUCGUCUACCGUGUGCGUCGAUUCAUGGCACCAGCCCGGACCGAUGCAUUGGAAAUGGGGGCAGCCCCCGGCGGACCAAUGUCAUGCCUUUAUUGGAAGACAGAGGACUGCCGGAAGUCCCCAACCUGUUGAGACGCGGGAACGUGGCUCAUGGGGCCAUGGACGGCACGGCGGAUAGUUA